AGCGAACGCUGGCGGCAGGCCUAACACAUGCAAGUCGAGCGAACCUUUCGGGGUUAGUGGCGGACGGGUGAGUAACACGUGGGAACGUGCCUUUAGGUUCGGAAUAACUCAGGGAAACUUGUGCUAAUACCGAAUAUGCCCUUCGGGCGAAAGAUUUAUCGCCUUUAGAUCGGCCCGCGUCUGAUUAGCUAGUUGGUUGAGGUAAUGGCUCACCAAGGCGACGAUCAGUAGCUGGUCUGAGAGGAUGAUCAGCCACAUUGGGACUGAGACACGGCCCAAACUCCUACGGGAGGCAGCAGUGGGGAAUCUUGCGCAAUGGGCGAAAGCCUGACGCAGCCAUGCCGCGUGAAUGAUGAAGGUCUUAGGAUUGUAAAAUUCUUUCACCGGGGACGAUAAUGACGGUACCCGGAGAAGAAGCCCCGGCUAACUUCGUG
rnacentral:rRNA from 1 species